GCCCACUUCAGCAAGGCAUAUACUAAACUACAACCAAUACAGAAAAUACGUCCUCUGUAUAAGGAUGAUACACAAAUACAUGAAGUGUCCCAUAUCUUU
ensembl:snRNA U6 U6 spliceosomal RNA